rnacentral:rRNA from 1 species
AGUGAACGCUGGCGGUAGGCCUAACACAUGCAAGUCGAACGGCAGCACAGUAAGAGCUUGCUCUUACGGGUGGCGAGUGGCGGACGGGUGAGGAAUACAUCGGAAUCUACUUUUUCGUGGGGGAUAACGUAGGGAAACUUACGCUAAUACCGCAUACGACCUACGGGUGAAAGCAGGGGAUCUUCGGACCUUGCGCGUUUGAAUGAGCCGAUGUCGGAUUAGCUAGUUGGCGGGGUAAAGGCCCACCAAGGCGACGAUCCGUAGCUGGUCUGAGAGGAUGAUCAGCCACACGGGAACUGAGACACGGUCCAGACUCCUAAGGGAGGCAGCAGUGGGGAAUAUUGGACAAAGGGCGCAAGCCUGAUCCAGCCAUACCGCGUGGGUGAAGAAGGCCUUCGGGUUGUAAAGCCCUUUUGUUGGGAAAGAAAAGCAGCAGGUUAAUACCCCGCUGUUCUGACGGUACCCAAAGAAUAAGCACCGGCUAACUUCGUG